GGCACCCCUGCAAUCCGAUGUGUUUUUAUUUUGUGGCUGGUGAGUUGAGUUCUGCUUCAACCUCGUGUGUCCUCUUGAUUUGUUUUGGAUUUUUAUUUAGUCCCCGCGACGUCCCCUUCUGGACGCUCGAUCGACGGGGGCGAUUGCAUCCGAUGUGUUUUUCUGGGCUUUUUCUUUCCUAUUUUGGAGAUGGGUUUUAGCUUUGAUUGGAAUCUGGGUGCGAGGAGAACCGAAUCGUGCUCAUCGUCCGUCGCGAUUUUAACUGAAGUGUAGCAGUCGAACUGUCUUAAUGUCACGUUUUUUCAAUCUGGGAAGGAGUGUCGUGGCACGUUAGAACUGCCAGCUCCAUGAAGACAUGAGCUUGCAGUUUAUGAGCUGAAACUAGGUCAAAAAUGCCAAAAUUCUUGCUGGGCAAAGAAAGGGAAUUUCGGUGAUAUCCCCCGAUUUCAGUUGCUAUCGCAUCGAAUAUGUCCUCUUUUGAUUUAAAAAUGCGGACUGAAAGACGCAAGAACAGAAGGAGACCACAGAAUAUUUUUACAUACCCUUGAGAUGCUUGAAAAAGCAUAGUGCAGCUAUGGAACAUUCUGAUAGUAUUUCCCGAACAAAGGAAAAGAAGUGAUAUGGCACAUUAUAAUCAUUAUGCUCCUCUGAGUUGUCCGGGAAGGAGUUCCUGGGCUAAUGAGAGAGAAGAAGCAUUUUUAUAACACGAAGUAAAAAUUCUUCUGGAUAGUCAUCAUGUGUAAUGUACAAAAAAGCAAGCACAUUAGCGGUCGUAAUGACAUAUGAAGAACUUCUUGCAGAUCUUUUUGCUGUUCCUUCAAAUUGUCCUGUGGAUUUUCUGAGAAACCGGCUUCUUUAUUGGCUGCGAGCUCCAUCACUGUAAUGCUUAUGACCUUCCCAGAGAAUUGACUUAAUUUGGCACAGGAAUCAGGCCGAAUUCCCUUGACUUGGGAGUCGUGUGGCAAGGUAAAAAGCACUUGAUCAUAGAUACACACGGGAAAACUCUCUAAACUUUUGAACUUGUCAUUACUGAGUAACUAUGAAUGCUGCAUAGCUAUAGUUUAAUCUGACUAAUAAUUAAAUUUCAGAACAAAGUGUCCACUUCCUCCUUCCUGGCUUUGUGUACUUUUGCUCUUUGACCUCGAUUCAUGAAUUUGUUGAUUACUUCAGUCCUCUUGCUAUGUUUAGGCCUUGAUAAAAAUUAUCGGUUGGUCCCGGGUUGACCCUGGAACCGGACCGAACCAAUGGGUUCGGUCUAGUCCUCGGUGCCACCAACCCGGACCAUGCUUACCCCUAGUUCUAAGCCCCCCUUUGCUUGUUUGUCUGCAGUUGACUCUUGGUGUCUGCACCGUGAUUGAGCUUUGGUUUGGUCCUUUUGAAGGAGUUGCAGUGGAAACAAGAUCAUCUGUUCUUUGUGGUAUCAGCUGAAACUGAGGUAAGAUCACAGAAAGAAGAGAAAAAAAGAGAAGGGGGUUUAGCUGAUCUGUGAUGAGUGUGAGUCCUGCCUUUUUUUCUGGUGAAUCUGAGCUCAGAUAUUUUGGGCAGUUUUCCACUGUACCCACCUUUCAUAUAUAUAAUUCAAGCACUGUGCUUGCUUAGCAAAACU
rnacentral:lncRNA from 1 species